ACAAGCAGCUGGCAGGCCUGCUCAAGCCCAGGGGGAAAGGACUGCUCUUGUGGUUCCUGGAAGCCAUGAGGCUCACCUGGAGGAAGAUAAUCUGCGCUUGCAGGAGGAGCUGGACAGGGCUGACGCGGAGCUGCGGGAGGAGGAAGAAAAGCAUCUUCAGUCCGAGCAUCGUGUUGGUGGCUUGAAGACUGCCUUGGAUGACAAGGGAAGAGAAGCAAGAACUUCCUCCCAGAAACCGCAGGACCUCCC